rnacentral:rRNA from 1 species
UACGGAGGGGGCUAGCGUUGUUCGGAAUUACUGGGCGUAAAGCGCACGUAGGCGGCUUUGUAAGUUAGAGGUGAAAGCCCAGGGCUCAACCCUGGAAUUGCCUUUAAGACUGCAUCGCUUGAACAUCGGAGAGGUAAGUGGAAUUCCGAGUGUAGAGGUGAAAUUCGUAGAUAUUAGGAAGAACACCGGUGGCGAAGGCGGCCCACUGGCUCGAUACUGACGCUGAGGUGCGAAAGCGUGGGGAGCAAACAGG